rnacentral:lncRNA from 1 species
GUCCUGGGCAGGUUACCCAACUUCUCUGUGCCUUGACGAUCCCAGCCAUUAAAUAGGUAACAAUGUACCUACCCAAGAGUUACUGUGAGGAUUAAAUGGAGGCGCUGUGAACAAUGCUGGCACACAGUCAGGCCUCAAUAAGUUUUAGUAAUUGUUAUUCUCUCCACUCUCUUUUUUCUGUCAUGAGAAUUCUGGGACAAAGGAACACUUAGAGGGUUCUGGGGUUCCUUCUGUGCUGUCACCUGAACUGUCACUUUACUUUCUAGCACAGCUUCUGUUCUUUCAGUCAAUGUUGUAGACCAAAGAGAAGGAAGAAUGUCUCCCAUUUAGGUAAAGACACUUCCAAGAAAUCGACUAGGGACGUAACUGAAUUGGCCUUUGAAGAUGAUGGCCUUUGACUUUAAGGGAGAGAGGAGGCCUGGAGAGACUAUUACAGUCUUAGGGAUGUAGGAAGACCAAUGGCAGGGGCUGGUCUUGUGGCCGAGUGGUUAAGUUCGCACGCUCCGCUUCAGCGAACCCAGGGUUUCACUGGUUCUGAUCCUGGGCGUGGACUUGGCACCUCUCAUCAGGCCAUGCUGAGGCAGCACCCCACAUAGCACAACCAGAAGGACCCACAACUAGAAUAUGCAACUGAGUACUGGGGGGCUUUGAGGAGAAGAAGAAGAAAAGAGAAGAUGGGCAACAGAAGUUAGCUCAGGUGCCAAUCUUUAAAAAAAAAAGAAAAAGAAAAUCAACGGCAGCUAUGGAAAACACCAGCCUACCGGAAUGUGUCUUGAAGGAAAUUAGGCCCCGCUGCAGACUCUGAGAGAAAAGUUAAAUUUUUUGUCAUCGCUCAAGAACCUUGGCUGACAGGGCAGCUGCCAUCUUGAACAUAACUGACCCCUGUGCCAGUGCUCCAACGACUCUCAAAACAGCAAUUAAAUGCUCUGAUUUAUUUCAUUUUCUUCAACUUGUUUGUCAGAAGUAUUCACGUGACCUGAGCCAACAAAAAAGGGCUGAGAAAACGCCAUCUGACCAUCGGGCGGAUUGUGGAGAGAUGGAAAUGUCUGGUGAAUGAUUCCUCCAGGAAAAGCUGAAGAAAGAGAAGGCCUUCAAGGAUCACAGAUAAUCAGCCCCCAGCUGCCGUUGAUGCCCAGAAGUCAGAUUGCCAGGGGCUUAUUUGGAGUGAAAGGGGAUUACCCCUUUUUUCUCCAAAACUUUUCCUGCCCAGCCCCUCAGCUCUAUAACACCCCCUGCCUUCUUCUCUUGUUAAGGCGGAUCUGAGAGAACCUAUCCCCUGGGCUUCUCAUUUUGGCCAAUACACCUUUCUCCAUCACCAAGCACCGGUAGGUGUCUCAGACAUUGGUUUACUGUCGACAAAUUUGAGAUUAAGAGGUUCGGUAUCAAGUGCAGCUGACAAGGAAUGAGUUUGAACUAGGCCAGAAAUGACCAGGCACGGAGUCACAAUUUGCUAUUUGUCACAUUAAUCUUUAGGCCCAAGGAAUUUCUUGUCCAUGAGGGAUGGUUUUUUUCCUCCCUUCAGGAAGCCCAUGGAACGUUGCUGGCUAUGGCAACAAAAUACCCUGAAUUUUCUGUGACAAUCCUGAUUCUCAGUUUUCAAUCCAUGUUCCUCAUAAAGGCAUUUUUAUUUGUCAGUCCUCAAUUUGGGUCAGAGAUGUGGUCUCUCUUCCAGAUGUCCAGAGGACAGCUGCUUGUUUAGAGCCUAGAGGACAAGGAGGAGCCCGCAGCCCCCGUGAGGAAUGAGUGAGUUUCUGACACCACCCUCCAACUCCACCCUGUGGCACUACACACAAAUCUAAAUUAUGCAGAAACCUCACUUUUAAUAACUUUGAGUCAUUCAUGCAGCCUGUUCUGAGGACGUUCUCCAACCAUUCUUCCUACCUUCUUUCAGCAGAUACUUAGUAGAUUGGUCCCCUUCAAUCAAUGGGGCUCUGUCCUCUAUACAUCGAUUCACUCUUGUCCGUGAUGCAAUUAUAGUUUUCACAGUAUGGAAUUGGUCUUUAUGGAACAGUCUUUCUAGACUGUAAAUGCCUUCAAGGUGAGGCCUGGAUGAACAAACGAAUAAAUGAGAAAAAACUAAAGACCGAAACCUCUUUUAAAAAGUUUAAAAGUAUGAUUAAAAUGUCAUUUAAAAAUCUACAUGGCAAAUAACAGGAACUCAAGAAAUGCUUGAAUUAAUGAAUUUGUGUUUUAUACAUUGUUUUGAAGAUUUCCCAUUUUCUACCUAGAUGUUAAGGUGAUCAUUGAAAAGAAGACAUACUGAUAAAAUGAAUAACUCCGCAAGCAAACCUGUCUUUAAAGGAUUUCUUGACCUCUGAAAAAUGAGAGAUGAUCUUAAGUCAUCAAAAAAAGUCACCUCUAAAACCUCUAAAAUAGUGUGAUACCGGGAUUUGCUUCACAACAAUCUGGGAGGGGCAGACAGCGGGAAGGGUGGAGACGAGUUGUUUCCGUGGAAGUUGACUUGAGUGCGUGAACUUUGAGAACUGGGUCAUCUGUUCCUCUUAUUGCUGAUUGAACUGAGUAAUUUCACCAUGUAGAAGCCUCAUUAUCUGUCAAAGGGAUCUUCUGAGAAAACUGGACAGUUAGCGGACCUUUUAAGCAAACGACAUCCUGUGGACAUUAUUUUAAGCGCCCUGGAGCAUCCUGGAAACCACUGGUUUUCAAAACUUUUCUUGCACACGAUCCACUGUAGAAAGACGUUUUACAUCACAACACGCAUAAAUCUAUGUUACUGAAAUGAAAGUUUUGUGAGAAAAUACUUUUCCUUACUAGACAUGAUGCAUUCUGAUAUUUUCCAUUUCAUUGUAAUCAUUUUUUUAAAAAAUUCUGGUUUGUAACCCAUUAAAUUGAUUUUACCACCAACAAUUGAGACUCAAGAGUAUGAAACAGAGACGUGAACAAAUCAGGGUGCCGGUUGGACUCGAGAAUAAUAUGAGAUUCAAGUGAAUUUCAUUUGAGGGAAAAAAGUUUGGUAGAAUUUAGAAGUCAACAAAUUUGUGGGUUAUUUUCCAUAACGUAAAACUUCAAAUUUUUUGGAAUUAAGCAUUUUUUGCAAUCAGUAUGUGGCUAAUAUCGGUAAAAGACAAUUUAGCAGUAUAGCUCUUUUAAAUAUUAUACAUUUGCAAUGAAAAGAAUGAUUCCUUAGUUCCAGAAGGUCCAAAUAUGAAGUCGCGGCCCAAAAUAAGAAAGAAGAUAGUCUAAGUGGACAAUUGCAAGAGGGAAUUGACAACAGUCUGGAGGCCUGGUAAAGGAUCUACAACACUGUGUUGAGAGAAGGCUGUGUUCUUACAGAGAACAGAAGAGAUAGCGUCUGAUAAAAUGGGCCUGUGCCUCCGAGUCUGAUAGCGGUGCCUUCUGAUUUUGCCGUAUCUCUAGUCAAUGAAGCCACAAGAGUCACAGCUUGGACAAGGCCACAAGGACCUAAGGGUGCUCUAUGACCCACAGCAUCCAGCCUGUCCUCAGACUCUUCCUGCGAUGGGGGAUGGCUCGUGAUAACUCUUCCAGCUUCCAGAGGAAGCGUGGCUGGUUGACCUUGCUCAACAGUCUUAACCUUUCUGCAUCUCAGUUUUUUAACUUGUAAAUGUGUUCAAGACGUAUUCUUUGCCUUCCUACUAUGGGACCCCUGCCACAGCAUGGCGUGCCAAGCAGUGUGCCAUGUCCGCACCUGGGAUCCGAGCCAGCGAACCCCUGGCUGCCAGAGCAGAACGUGAGACUUAACUGCUGCAUCACCGGGCCAGCCCCUACUUUUGUAUUUUUGAUCAAAAUAAGGCACUGAGUUUCUAGAGGAAGACUAUGAGUUCAGCUUUGGACAUGUUGCUCUGAAUUUGGCUGUGGAUGGUAAGAUGGGGUCACACCCACUGGGCACGAGAUCUGGAGCUGACGUUUACACAUUGUUGACUCCCCAACACCGAUUCCACUCCUCUCUCAAUGUGAUCUGGGAAAUUGCCCUCAUCUCAAAGGUGGGCCUGAUUGAUCUAAAAGUACUGAUCUGAAAGUCACCCUACUUGCCAGGAAUUGGUUCAGGGAUAGACAUGUGAUAUAGUUCUCAUCAAUGAGAGGCAAUGAGAUGUUUGCAGGAGGCUUCUGGGAAAGGCCGUCUCUCCCUGUGGAUCUGGAUGGGGAAGCCUCCAGCCCUGGCGCUCCUGACAGCUUUCCUACAGCCACAAAGAUCCAGCCACAGGAUGAGGCCAAGUCUGUGGACCACAGCGCCGAGAGAGAGCCUGCUUCCUUGACGACAUUGUUGAACCUGCUCAUCAGUUAUCUUGGAAGCUUGUACUGGCUGUGGACUGCCUCUUACUUGAACUCAGUCUCCCUGGGUCUGCCCUUCAACAAGUAGCCCUGUGACCCUGAACAUUCUGCAGUCACUUCGCCUUUCUGGGUUUCAGUGAGCUCAACUGUGAACCGGGUCAGAAGAAAAAGAUGAACUUUCCAGUUGAAGAAAAUAUUUUAAUACAUAAACUCUCGGAGGAAGGCACGUACCGCCUCUCAGAAUGGAAGACUCGGUGGGGCGGGUUGGAGACUCACCUUCUGCAGCUGCAGCCUCUGAGAGCCUGGCUCCCAGCGAGGUGUCGCAGCUCCGGGUUUCCCACACUGGAACGUGGUGAAGACGAAGAACAUUAAUUCGGAUUAUGGAACGUGGAAGCUCCCUGCGCUGUGACAGCUCAUGAGAAAGAGAACACCGCUUCCUUUUUUGGAAGGAAUUGGGAGUGUCACGUAUGUAUUAAUUCUUGGGUUCAAGCCGAGUUUCUUUAGGGGUGAGGUGCAAUCGUUACCUUUAGGUCAUCCUGGGUGGGGGCGUAGGCUAUUAUUUUAGGUUCUUCAGAAGGGAGGUUUGCCUAAUCUUAGAUGAUCAAGUUUCCUAUUAUGAACCUUCCUUCAAUUUUGAAAGGUUAUCAUUCAUAGUUCGUGCUGAUAGAGAACAAUGUUGGAAGCAUUCCUUAGUUCAAGGGGAUUUCACGCCUGGGUAAUUUUCAAGUUUUACUGUUUUCCAGCUUACUAGCCUGCCUGAGGAUCCCUACUGCUUCUUAAAUUUCACAAAUAAGCGAGUUAAAGAAAAAAGCAUACACACCAAAAACAAACCAAUACUUAACUCCCUCUUCCAACCACCCCACUGUCCCGAGGGAGAUAUGCGCAAAGUCAGAAAUAAAGUGGCAAGUUUCC